AUUUCAUAAUUUUGCAAGUUAAUUUUUGUUGACAGAAGUCAAACCAGAAACUUCUUGUUCUACUGUUGACGCAAGGCACAAUAGAAACUUGUUUCAGGUGCAGAGCUGAGUUUUUCUAGUUACAUUUAAAUGUGAGAGAAACAGGAAUCAAGCCAUCACAUAGUUGGUUCCUUACCCACUGUAUCAAAACUUUGUGCCAUGGGAGUAACUCCAGCAGUAGAGAUGGCAUCAUGUGAAGGCCGAAACCCCAGAAUUCCACAAUAUGAUGCAGGUACUCUUACACUUCCUCCAGUGUCGGUUCCUAUGAUAGAGAGAACUAUUUGGUUCAAUCUAGUUAGGGCAAGCCAAUAACAUUUGACUUGUUCAUGAAAGAAACUCACCUAAGGCGAAAUCUACAAGCUUUGCACCAACUGCAACAGCAGACCCGCUGGAAGAUCCUCCUGGUAUCCGAUCAGGCACACAUGGAUUUCUAGGUGUUCCAUAAUGUAUGUUUACUCCAUUUAUACUGCCAAAAAAUGGUCUUGAAUUAAUGAUGUGAAUAUUCAAGGAUCUAUUUUUCAAAGAUGAAUAAAUGAGUGAGAGCCCACAACUAUUUAGGAA